rnacentral:tRNA from 1 species
GCCCGGGUGGCGGAAUUGGCAGACGCGUCGGUCUCAAACACCGAUGGUGGCAACAUCGUGCGGGUUCGAUUCCCGCCCCGGGCACCA